CACGUAGGGCGCAAGCGUUGUCCGGAAUUAUUGGGCGUAAAGAGCUCGUAGGCGGUCUGUUGCGUCCGCUGUGAAAUCUCGGGGCUUAACCCCGAGCCUGCAGUGGAUACGGGCAGACUAGAGGUAGGUAGGGGAGAAUGGAAUUCCCGGUGUAGCGGUGAAAUGCGCAGAUAUCGGGAGGAACACCGGUGGCGAAGGCGGUUCUCUGGGCCUUACCUGACGCUGAGACGCGAAAGCGUGGGGAGCAAACAGG
rnacentral:rRNA from 1 species